GCAUAUCAAUAAGCGGAGGAAAAGAAACUAACCAGGAUUCCCCUAGUAGCGGCGAGCGAACCGGGAAAAGCCCAACUUGAAAAUCUGUGCCUUUCAGGCAUCGAAUUGUAGUCUAGAGAAGCUUCCUCUGCGACAGUCACCGCCAAAGUCCUCUGGAAAGAGGCGCUCGAGAGGGUGAGAGCCCCGUAGGCGGUGUGCCAGUCGCUCCACGAGGUGUUUUCGCAGAGUCGGGUUGUUUGGGAAUGCAGCCCUAAGCAGGUGGUAAAUCCCAUCUAAGGCUAAAUACUGACGGGAGACCGAUAGCGAACAAGUACCGUGAGGGAAAGAUGAAAAGAACUUUGAAAAGAGAGUCAAAAAGUGCUUGAAAUUGUUGAGGGGGAACGGAUUGGAGGUCACGGGUGCGCCCAGGCUUAUGUCUGCCUCGCGGUUGGCUGUAUGCGCUGGGUGCUGGUCAGCAUCGAUUGGGUGGGCGGGAUAAAGACGGGAGUUGUUAUCCCGUUCAUGUCGCCUGCCCGAUCGAGGUACCAAGGGCGCUCUCUGAGUCCUUCGGGAACUGCGUCCUCAGGAUGCUGGCGGAAGGCUUCCAAUCUACCCGUCUUGAAACACGGACC
rnacentral:rRNA from 1 species